rnacentral:misc_RNA from 1 species
GAUGAAGAACGUAGCGAAAUGCGAUAAGUAAUGCGAAUUGCAGAAUUCCAGUGAGUCAUCGAACCUUUGAACGCACAUUGCGCCCUUUGGUAUUCCGAAGGGCAUGCCUGUUCGAGCGUCAUUAUCACCCCUCAAGCCCUCGGCUUGGUGUUGGACGGUUUGGUGGAGGCCCCCUCGGGGGUUCCUGCCCCUCCCAAAGACAAUGACGGCGGCCUCGUUGGACCCCCGGUACACUGAGUUCUUCACGGGACACGUAUCGGACACACGGGUUUACGGGACACGGUCUGCCUCCCCUCAGGGAGAAUCUUCUUAUCAAGGUUGACCUCGGAUCAGGUAGGACUACCCGCUGAACUUAAGCAUAUCAAUAAGCGGAGGA